CUACGUGCCAGCAGCCGCGGUAAUACGUAGGUGSCAAGCGUUGUCCGGAAUUAUUGGGCGUAAAGCGCGCSCAGGCGGAUCAGUUAGUCUGUCUUAAAAGUUCGGGGCUUAACCCCGUGAUGGGAUGGAAACUGCUGAUCUAGAGUAUCGGAGAGGAAAGUGGAAUUCCUAGUGUAGCGGUGAAAUGCGUAGAUAUUAGGAAGAACACCAGUGGCGAAGGCGACUUUCUGGACGAAAACUGACGCUGAGGCGCGAAAGCCAGGGGAGCGAACGGGAUUAGAUACCCCGGUAGUCCUGGCCGUAAACGAUGGGUACUAGGUGUAGGAGGUAUCGACCCCUUCUGUGCCGGAGUUAACGCAAUAAGUACCCCGCCUGGGGAGUACGACCGCAAGGUUGAAACUCAAAGGAAUUGACGGGGGCCCGCACAAGCGGUGGAGUAUGUGGUUUAAUUCGACGCAACGCGAAAAACCUUACCAGGUCUUGACAUUGAUGGACAGAACUAGAGAUAG
rnacentral:rRNA from 1 species